GGUUCGGCAAUCCGACGAGCCGUUACAAAGUUAUUAAAGAAACGGACGUUUAGGCUUCGUUUCCGCCUGGAGGGCCGAGGCGACGUCGUAAAAUCAUGGAAUCGGAUUUGAGGCACCGUAACAACAAAACGAAGACCCUUUUUGCCCGAGACUGCGAAGCGAUGCGCGGUUGGUGCGCAAUUGCAAGUUCCGACGGAACCGAGCACCGGAUGCCGCGGGAGGCCGAUUGCAAGUGUCGACGAGCAAUCGGAAUGCACUAACAGGUUUGCAUGAGUGCGGCGCGGUGGCGCGAUGCGAGGGUGUAGCUCCGUAGAUAGCGCCCUACCACAGAGACCAGAACUAGCAGUACCCCAUCGACAUAGCUUAGGGGUAUAGAAAAUGGAAAGAACACAAUGUAUCAAAUUGUAAUGAGUAAAUGAUGUAACAACUUAGAUUGCAUUUGGAUGUAAAAGUAUAGUAAUUGGGAUGUAAAA